rnacentral:lncRNA from 1 species
UGGAAAAGGAUCCUCCAGUCCAUGUCAAGUUUUCAGAGGAGUGCAGCCUCAGCAGACAUAAUUAUAACCUCUUGAAAGACCCUGAGCCUCUAAGCUGCUUCUAGUUUCCCGACCGUCAGAACCUCUUUGAAGUAAUAAAGUCUCCUUUGCUGGUUCUUCCGGGAUGGGAUUACUGCCCUUCUAAGAAAAGGGAGAGACCAGAGCUCCUUCACUCUCAGCCCUAUGAGGACACAGUGAGAAGGUGGCUGUCUGCACGCCAGGAAGCAGACCCACACCAAGAAUCGAAUCUGCCGGCACCCUGGUCUUGUACUUCUCAACCUCCAGAACUACAUCUUCUCAUUGAUUCCAUCCAGAACUUUCCAAACUGGGGCCAGGUGUGUGAGAAGACUUGUGAACGCCCUUUCUCAAUCAGAGCAAACCCAGACCUAAGCUGGUCCGUGGGAGGACGAGAGACCGAACGGAGCAGAGCCGAGUCGCCCCAGCUGUGAGCAUCUGAGACCACCUAGGCCCAGCUGACUUUCCGGCUGACCACAGGCACAGAAACUUUGGAAUAAAUAACGGUGGUUUCAAAAUUUGGGACCCUCUUCUCCUGCAUGUCAGCCUGGAUAUACUGGAGGAAAACACCAGCAUAAUGCCUGUUCCUAGGAAUUUAUGUUUCCAAUCACCUGAUCACCUAGCUUUAAAGCUGGUCUAGAAAAGAAAAAGAAAGGAUGACUGAAUCCAGUAAAUGAAGAAAAGUGACCAAUGUUGUGAGGCUUCUGCAAUCGCAAAAUGACAACCCUUUAGCCUUUUCACUAGUGUCAUGUGAUGGUAGGUGAUCUAGACACCCAUCGAAGGAAAACCGGUCUCUGCUCUCUUAUAUUGUCCGAGCUUUCAGACAUGAUACAGUUGAGUGUUUUUUAAGGAGCAUUAUAGUCUGGAACUCUGAGGAGAUGUUAAAAGUCAUUCCCAGCAGGAUCUUAAAAAAAGAAUGGACGAGACAGCCUGGUAAACUACUCACUGGAAUGCAAGGCAGAAUGGAGUACUGUAGCUCUCUCAGGAAGAUGGAAACUACGCGUGUUGUUGAAAACAGAAGAAGCAAUCUCGGAGAAGAUUGAGCCAGGAAUUGGGGAGACCUUUGGGAGCAGACCCAGAUGUGGGCGAUGGGAUCAACAGCCAGGCCCAGCAGAAUGCCUAGAGUUUCCAAAUUGCUCUGGGUGACAUCUGCUUGUCACCAGUGAAACCAAAAGGACAGCAGGGUAGAUUGCCUUCCACAGGACAGACAGAAAUAUGUCAGAAGACAUUCACAUGGAAACUGUGUCCAUGGUUAUACUCAAAGGUUUACUCGAAUUCCGCCUAGAAACCUGGCUCCUAUGCUCUGGACAAAAUCCUCUGUCAUUGAGUGUUUGAAGACACGAGAAUACAGCUGUUGGCAGAGGCGUGAAAUACCACUACUCCCUGAAACUGAAGGUUUGAAUCCUACUAAGGAUCACGCAGCUCUGCAUCAUUCAAGG